AAAYCAGCAAGUCGAAUCGGURGCAGGCCUUCUGGCGCUGGACGAGUGGGGGACGUAAUGAGUAAUGCAAUAGGAAUCUGCCUAUUAGUGCGGGGACAACGUGGGGAAACUCACGCUAAUACCGCAUACGUCCUACGGGGGAAAGGCUGGGGAUCUUCGGACCUGGCGCUAAUAGAUGAGCCUAUGUYGGAUCAUCUAGUUGGUAGGGUAAUGAUCUCCCAAGGCGACGAUCCAUAGCUGGUCUGAGAGGAUGAUCAUCCACACCGGGASUGAGACACGGCCCAGACUCCUACGGGAGGCAGCAGUGGGGAAUAUUGGACAAUGGGGGAAAGCCUGAUCCAGCAAUACCGCGUGUGUGAAGAAGGCCUCAGGGUUGUAAAGCACUUUCAAUAGGAAGGAAUACCUCCCCGGCUAAUACCCGGUAGCCUGACAUUACCUAUACAAGAAGCACCGGCUAACUCCGUGCCAGCAGCCGCGGUAAUACGGAGGGUGCAAGCGUUAAUCGGAAUUACUGGGCGUAAAGCGUGCGUAGGCGGUUGUUUAAGUCAGAUGUGAAAGCCCUGGGCUUAACCUGGGAUAUGCAUUUGAUACUCCGCACCUAGAGUUAGUCGAGGCGAGUG
rnacentral:rRNA from 2 species